rnacentral:rRNA from 1 species
GACGAACGCUGGCGGCGUGCUUAACACAUGCAAGUCGAACGAUCUCGAGACUUCGGUCUCAAUGAGAUAGUGGCGAACGGGUGAGUAACACGUGAGAAACCUGCCCCGGAGAUUGGGAUAACUCGAGGAAACUCGUGCUAAUACCAAAUAUCUUCCGACCAUCGCAUGGUGGACGGAAGAAAUGGUCCGCCGCUCUGGGAGGGUCUCGCGGCCUAUCAGCUUGUUGGUGAGGUAACGGCUCACCAAGGCAUCGACGGGUAGCUGGUCUGAGAGGACGAUCAGCCACACUGGGACUGAGACACGGCCCAG